AACGAACGCUGGCGGCAUGCCUAACACAUGCAAGUCGAACGAGACCUUCGGGUCUAGUGGCGCACGGGUGCGUCACGCGUGGGAACCUGCCCUUAGGUUCGGAAUAACUCCCCGAAAGGGGUGCUAAUACCGGAUCAUGUCUUCGGCCCAAAGAUUUAUCGCCUUUGGAUGGUCCCGCGUUGGAUUAGCUAGUUGGUAGGGUAAAAGCCUACCAAGGCGACGAUCCAUAGCUGGUCUGAGAGGAUGAUCAGCCACACUGGGACUGAGACACGGCCCAGACUCCUACGGGAGGCAGCAGUGGGGAAUAUUGGAAAAUGGGCGAAAGCAUGAUCCAGCAAUGCCGCGUGAGUGAUGAAGGCCUUAGGGUUGUAAAGCUCUUUUACCCGGGAUGAUAAUGACAGUACCGGGAGAAUAAGCUCCGGCUAACUCCGUG
rnacentral:rRNA from 1 species